ensembl:lncRNA
GUGAUUCUUCCUGUGAUUACAGAAGGCUGCUGGAUGUCUCUGAAUGUAUCUUAUGACUUUACACAGUGAUUUAACAAUACAAAAGGAGUGCCGAAAGGAAAAAACUCACAGGGAAAACUGUUGGAGUGUCACAAAACACAGACGAGCAAAAACCAACAGGACAGAGAGAAAAAUGAAGGACAGAAAUGAAACACAAACUACUGGAGAGAAAAGCAGACAGAGACGUGUUAGAUGUGAGAGUAUGGAUAAACUAAAGGCAGACUUCUCUCGUGAUCCAGACGGGCAGGUAAAGUUUCAUUCUGAUGUCAAAAACUCUUCAGCAUGUUCUCAAGAACACACAACAUCACUGAGACACCAGCAGCUGAAGACGUGAAUAACAUCAUCUUCAUCAUCUUCAUCAUCAUCUCAGACUCCAUCACUCCAGACUACAGUUUGUUCAGCUCCUGGACUCUUUUACAGACUCAUCUGAUCACAAACAAACUGACUAAUGAACCGUUUCUUUCUGCUGCACUUUACUGACAACAUUAACAUCAUGAUCCACCUCUGCAUCACACAGAGACUGUUUGUGUUUUACAAAAUGUUUGUUUCAUUUCGCACUGCAUUUCAUGUAUAAUGUAUAUUGUUAUAUUCCUGUAUAUUUUUAUGUAUUUCCCAGAUUCUAUAUUUCUCUGUAUAUUUUUGUAGAUUAUUUUAUUAUGUUUUCAUCCUGUUUUACAUUUACGCAAAAAUCACUGAAGGACAAUAAUUUUAUAACUUGCAUAUGUACAUGUUAUUCUGAAUGAAUAUGACAGAGAUUUACAAGAAGGGUCUGGCUGCAGACAACGCAGAUGCACUGUCAGACGCAUGCAGUGUCAGGCUCACACAUGCUCUCUUUGCAGUGGGUCGAAAUACAACAAAACACUGUUUACAAACUUAAGGCAUGACAGAAAAGAACUUCCCGUUAACACUGCCUGAAAAUAUAUAUGAGGUGGACUGUAAAAUCCCAUUUUUUCAGGUGGAGAUUACUACUUUUUAAGAGUACCGUUUUUUACUGUAGUCGCACUGUCGUAUUGAGUCACGUUUAUCAUACAACACUGAUAAAAGCAUAUAUACCCCCACUUUAUUAGUAUUUAAAUAGUAUAUGUUGAACUUUAUUCUUGAAAAGAUGGCGCUGUAUUAAGCAGUGUAUAAAAGUGUUUCUUUUGCUCAUGAAAACGUCUGUGUAUUUGACAAAUAUUGCAUUUAAUUCACUUCAUCUGUGAUAAAGUAUGCAAACACCACGUGAGUGUCAAUAACGGGAGGAGAAAGUGUCUGUUUUCAACUCCGCCCCCGACUGCAAGCAGCUACUCUCGUUGAUCGCCGUCUGUAGCCGUGCUUCAAGUCACAGUAUGGUGAGGGGCGUAACAUUCCAGUCACAUGCUUGAGGUAUUCAGGCCAAUCACAACACACUGGGUAGCUGGCCAAUCAGAGCACACCUCGCUUUUCAGAACGAUGAGCUUUGUAAAAAACGACACGUUUCAGAAGGCAGGGCAUAGAGGAGAAACAACAAUGUACAGUAUUUGGAAAAUAAUGUGUUUUUUUUAACCUUAUACCACAUAAACACAUUUCAUUACACCAAAUACACAAAAUAACAUUAUUUUUGAAAAAAGUGAAAGUCGUGACAUUUGCCAAGGAUGGUAACCCAUACUCGGAAUUGGUGCUCUGCAUUAAACCCAUCCAAGUGCACACAGACAGCAGUGAGAAGUGAACACACCGUGAACACACACCCGGAGCAGUGGGCAGCUAUAUCCAGCGCCCGGGGAGCAACAUGGGGCUCAGUGCCUUGCUCAAGGACACUUCAGUCAUGGGUAUUGAGAGUGGAAGAGAGCGCUGUUCAUUCACUCACUCCCACCUACAACUCCUGCCAGCACCGGGACUCGAACCUGCGACCUUCAGUUUACAAGUCCAACUCUCUAACCAUUAGGCCACAACUGCCCCCUUUUUAGCAACAUCGUAGGACCCCUUUAAGGUGCAUUAAAUGAAAUUAAGUUUUUCCAUUGAUUUCUCUGUCUUCAAUACCAACAUUUUAGCUUUUCUUGUGCUUCAGGUCAGAACACAGCUCAUUCCCUUUGAAAUACUGGAAAAAAUUGAAAUAAUACAUCUUUAAGUACUAAUAAUUUACCAUAAUUGAGAAAAUGGAAUAAAAUCAGCAAAUACAAAUCA